GUGAGAUGGAAUCAACGUUUGGAUAUACGAUUUCAUGGUGAUUCCAUCUCAUGA
rnacentral:pre_miRNA from 1 species